rnacentral:rRNA from 1 species
GAUGAACGCUAGCUACAGGCUUAACACAUGCAAGUCGAGGGACCGGCGCACGGGUGAGUAACACGUAUCCAACCUGCCCUUUACUCGGGGAAAGCCUUUCGAAAGAAAGAUUAAUACCCGAUGAAAAGGAUGGGGUUGAGUUCCCUUGGGGUGUUGGUGAGGUCACGGCACACCAAGCUUCCGAUGGAUAGGGGUUCGGAGAGGAAGGUCCCCCGCAUUUGAACUGAGACCCGGUCCAAACUGCUACGCGGGGCAGGAGUGAGGAGUAUGGGUGAAGGGGCGUUGGCCUGCCCCUGCCAAGUAGCGUGAGGAAGAAAUGCUUAUGGGUCGUAAUCUUCUUUUAAAUAAGAAGCUGUAUUAUAUGAAUAAGGAUCGGCUAACUCCGUGCCAGCCGCCGCGGUAAUUC